rnacentral:lncRNA from 1 species
AUGACUCCUGUGGGAUAUGGUUUGAUAAGCCUCAAGUUGACAACCCUACAGAGAUCUGUCAUUUGGAUUUUUUUUUUUAGAACAUGCUUUCCAUAUUUAUCAUAUGAGGGUGCUUUUCUCAUCUCUACAUCACAUAAAUCUUGGGGUACUUGGAGCUGCACACAGGAGAAGCACGCUAUAAAUAUCACUCAGGCUUUAUUUUAUAAAGUUGAAAUCAUCUCAUUGUGUGCUUCAGAAGCCAUAUUAAUGCAACGCCCUGGUGGCCUGGUGACUCAUCACUUUCACUUCUUCAAAGGCAUUAUUCAACUGUGGAGUUUUCUUUUCAAACUACUACAGGAACUCCAUGAGCCUGUGAGAUUGAAAGAUCUACCAGAGUCCGUUGCCAGGUUUGGCUCUGUCUGCGGUGAAAUGUGGGGCCCAGGAGGAAACAGGAAUGGAUCUUCUCAGCUAUACUCGAUGACUCUGCCGAGAUUCCACCUGGAAGCUGCACUCAGCUCAGAGCUCCUAAUUACCAGCCAGGUACAGACAAAUGGGCCGAGUGUUUGGGGAAAAGCAGCAAGAGUGAUGGAGAAAGACAACUUGAUUUAUGGAGAGAGAUUAAAGGAGCUGAAUAGGUGGAGCUCAGCAAAAGAUGAUGGGGUGGAGCUAGGGGACCAUCUCCUUGUAUCUGAAGGCUGCAAACAGUCAGCAGACUAAGAGUUAUUUCGGUUAGAGCCGAGAAACAUAACAAAGAGUGAUGAAAAGAAAUUUAUGAUAAUAAUAGACUGUAAUUUUAUACCUAUUCCCAAACCAAGGAACCUCAAAACAUUUUAUGGCUAAGUAUAAUACACACACUACAACAGGGCGUGUUGAGGCUGUAAAGUGGCAGGUAAUUUAGCAAAAGCCUUUGAAAGAAAUAAUAUUUAGUGAGAAGGUAAUGGGUCCUCCUCGUGUAAAGAGCAGGGACCUGGCUUUUGUUUUGUCUGCUGCCCACUCCCAGGCGUGGUUCAGAUGGAGAAUGGCAUUGCUUUAUGUUUUCUGAAGCACGCAGGGUUCAACCUUCUUUAAAAAGAGGAGGAGGAGAUCCUUACAGAUCAGAGCAAAACUUGGAAGGCUGCUACAGCAAAGCUCUUAACCCAGCGCCAGGUUCCCCACUGGCUGACUUGGGCAGUUUGGGCUGCUAUGGAAAUGUGCUUUAGCCUCAACAGCUUAUGAACAACACAAAGACACCACUCUCCAUGCCAGAGGCUGGGACCCGAAGAGCUAAGCGCUGGUAGAAUAGGUAGGUGUCUUGUAGGAGGCAGCAUUCACAGGGAACAAGGGCAAGCUGCCCCCUCUAGCCUCUGCUGUUCUGAAAGGCUCACUUUAUUUUUAUUUGUUUAUGCUCGCAUGCCUGAGGAGGCCAGAAGACAGUCUCCUGAGACUGGAGUUACAUGUGGUUGUGAGAUACCCAGCAUGGGAACCAGAAACCACCUUUUAGUCUUCCGCAGCGGCAGUGUGCAGGUUAGUUUUUAUUGCUAAUCUGAUACAACCUAGAGGGAGAUGGAACCUCAGCUGAGGAACUGCUUAGAUCAGAU